UACGAAGGGGAGCUAGCGUUGUUCGGAAUUACUGGGCGUAAAGCGCACGUAGGCGGACUAUUAAGUCAGGGGUGAAAUCCCGGGGCUCAACCCCGGAACUGCCUUUGAUACUGGUAGUCUCGAGUCGGAAGAGGUGAGUGGAAUUCCGAGUGUAGAGGUGAAAUUCGUAGAUAUUCGGAGGAACACCCGUGGCGAAGGCGGCUCUCUGGGACGGUACUGACGCUGAGACGCGAAAGCGUGGGAGCGAACAGG
rnacentral:rRNA from 1 species